rnacentral:rRNA from 1 species
UACGUAGGGUGCGAGCGUUUGUCCGGAAUUACUGGGCGUAAAGAGCUCGUAGGUGGUUUGUCGCGUUGUUCGUGAAAACCGGGGGCUUAACCCUCGGCGUGCGGGCGAUACGGGCAGACUUGAGUACUGCAGGGGAGACUGGAAUUCCUGGUGUAGCGGUGGAAUGCGCAGAUAUCAGGAGGAACACCGGUGGCGAAGGCGGGUCUCUGGGCAACAACUGACGCUGAGGAGCGAAAGCGUGGGGAGCGAACAGG